rnacentral:tRNA from 1 species
GCCCUCGUAGCUCAGGGGAUAGAGCACAGCUCUCCUAAAGCUGGUGUCGUACGUUCGAAUCGUAUCGAGGGCACCA